UUGUUCCUCGCCCUGUUUUUACAAAAACAUGUCCUCUUGAUGAUAUUUUGAGGUCUGGCCUGCUCACUGACAAGGUUUUGAAGAGCCGCGGUAUUUUGACCGUGCAAAGGUAGCAUAAUCAUUAGUCUCUUAAUUAGGGGCUGGAAUGAAUGGCUUGACGAGAAAUCAACUGUCUCUUAAUAAUUUUUAAAAUUUAACUUUUGAGUCAAAAGGCUUAAAUUUUUCUUUAGGACGAGAAGACCCUAUAGAGCUUAACAUUUUAUUUUUAUAUAGUUUUUAGUUAAUCUUUCUAUAUUUAAUGAUAAUGUUUUGUUGGGGUGACAUGAAGAAUAAUUAAACUCUUCAUUAUAGAAUCAUUGAUUUAUGUUUAUCAUGAUCCAUAAUUUAUGAUCAUAAGAUUAAGUUACCUUAGGGAUAACAGCGUAAUUGUUUUCGAGAGCUCAUAUCGACAAAGCAGAUUGCGACCUCGAUGUUGGAUUAAGAAAAAUUUUGGGUGCAGGAGCCCAAUAA
rnacentral:rRNA from 1 species